UACAGAAAAUUUUGAAAAGCCAAGAGAAAUAGUGUUGCAAUUCUCCUUGGGAUGAGACAUAUGAAGACUAGAACCUACCAGUGGGAUGGCAUUAGUACUGCAGCUGAACUCAUUUCUCUAGCUGCUGGGUAUGUUAGCUGCAGAUGGCUCACAGCUAUCUACUCCUUCAGACAUUUCCCUCAGCAGAAGCAGCUACACCUGAAGUUGCAUCUACUCCCUACAGAAACCCCACAUCCAAUGACUGAGAAAAAAGAGAAAGAGUGAUGGCAAAUGAAGGUGAAGCAGCUGAAGGCUGGCUGAGCAGAGGCUGUGAUACUGAAACCUGGUGAACUUUGUCUUGUCCCUCAUCCUGUAAACCUGCUUUGAGGGCACGUGCUGCUUCACAUCUUAAGAAGCUGCCUGAGAUCUGAGAUCUGCUUGCAUAGUAUAAAUAUAACUUGCAUUAUCCCUCAUUUCUUU